UACAGAGGGUGCAAGCGUUAAUCGGAAUUACGUGGCGUAAAGCGUGCGUAGACGGUUAUGUAAGUCGGGUGUGAAAGCCCCCGGGCUCAACCUGGGAAUUGCAUUCGAGACUGUGUAGCUAGGGUACGGAAGAGGGAAGCGGAAUUUCAGGUGUAGCGGUGAAAUGCGUAGAUAUCUGAAGGAACACCAGUGGCGAAAGCGGCUUCCUGGUCCAGUACCGACGUUCAGGCACGAAAGCGUGGGGAGCAAACAGG
rnacentral:rRNA from 1 species